GACUUAUCCAGAAAGACUGAGGGAAGAGGCCCUAUGAAGUCUUAGCAACCUGUUUCUCAAUAAGGUGCUAAAUCCUUCCGCUACGGCGGACAGAUAAGAA
rnacentral:ncRNA from 2 species